AGAUACAACACAUUCUCA
rnacentral:snRNA from 1 species